CCAUGGAGAAUUCCUCCAGCCAAGAGGAAUUUGAACGCUUUUCCCGAAUAGUGGAAAAUGAACGUCUUAUGGAGCUAGGGUCUGUCACCACCUGGAAACAUGAGCCCCCAGAAGAACACAAGGGGAUGAUUCUGCCUCCUCCAUGUGAAGAACGGCUUUCAGAAGAGACACUUGCAUCUCUAAGGUCUCCGUUGUCUGACUCAAAACAGACGUGAUAACAACACUGCAGUCUACGUGGUAACAACAACUGCAGCCAACGGGUAUCAGAGGUGGUGCAAGACACGCCCACACACACAAAUCAUGGCCAUGUCCCAGGACGUUGAGCAGGGAGCCCCAAAGGAUGGGCAGGAGUACACAGUGGUGAGUGUAUAGCAUGGGCUGACACCUGAAUUGAA